CCCAAAUUAGCUAGUCUAUUACAAACAUGAAAAAAAAACGUUUUACAAGUACUGUGUUCUUCUCUAUCUUGUUGAAAAAUAGUGAACACCCAUAGGGGAGGGUACAAAAACACUUGAAAAUUUGUUGCCACUAAGUUGUGUGCUCCUUGUUGAGACAAAACAUAUGCUACUUCAUUUCCCUCUCUAUUGUUAUGCCUAAGCAGUGGAUCUCCAACCUCGUUAACCAGUACCUGCAUUGAUCAAUUAAAUUAGUAUAAGGAGAUGAUUGUUCUGAAGAAGUUGCAGAACAUAAGUGGAUUCUGUUUCAAUUUCUAAUGGAAAACAGUGAUGCUCAAAGGCAAAAGUAAUGCCUUGAAAGAGAGCUUUAAGUUUCCACUUCAGAGGGGUUAAGGGCAUUUAUGGCUAGGUAUAAGCCUACCACCAUUUCUCCUUUAUCAUAUUGUAUGACUCCACCAAUGCCACCUUGAUGAGUAGAGGGUUUGAAAGUACCAUCUGUGUUAAGUUUGAAAAACCCAACCGGUGGGAGAACUAUUUGAUAAGGAUUUAUUUAAAAGGUAGGUAUAUCUAGGAAGGUGUUUAGAGUGUAGGUAUAGUUUAUCACUCAAGAGUUUAUAAAAUAAGGAGAGAUGAGGUUGUGCUAGUUAUGGUUAUAUUAUGGUUUCGAUUGAGCCAUGUAUGACACAAGGCAAAAGGGUAGAAAAUAUCCCAUUGGAGGAUAUGAUUUGGCAAGAGUAAUAUUUACUUUCGAAAUAGCAAUGAGCCAGAGUGGAUGGGAAUUGAAUUGAAAGAAGUUUGUGGGAUUUUGGCUACUGGAUAGGCGAAAAAGAUCUGGAAGGCAUCUUCAAUGCCGUUUCAGCAAAUAGGGCACUGGUUUGUAUCACUAACAUUGAUUUUAUGUAGAUAUUCCUUGCUGGGAGGCGAUUAUGGAGAGUUUGCCAAAGGAAGAAUUUGAUCUUUUGAAAAGUAUUAAGUUUCCAAAUUUAGUGAAAAUCUAUUAUGAAGGGAAUAAGAUUCCAAAGAAUUAUAUAAGUGGAAACAGUGGAAAAAAUACCAUGAUGAUUAAGGAAUAGAUGGG
rnacentral:lncRNA from 1 species